rnacentral:lncRNA from 1 species
GGUAUCACCACAGAAAUGGUAAAUACAGAAUGUCAAAAUUAAGCUCUUGCUUUCAUCCUUUUUCUUCUUAGGACAAGCCAGGAGAUCAGGGCGCCUCUGUAUUCCUUGAAGGACAGACAGGCAGCCUCAGGUCCCUACCAGCUCACCAUUCCUGGGGAGGAGUGCCAGGUCCAACACUGCCAGUUACCAGGGCAUUGUUUUGUGGAUGGUGGGUCUCCACGGAGUCCUUUUCUGUCUGAGGGAAAGAGAAACAGUACAGAGAAGGUAUCCUUGUUGUCUUAAGACGCUGGCCAGGAGAUACAUAUCACUUCUGCCAACUACAUCAGGUGACCACACCUACCUGCAAGGGAGAAGCAUCUAUCCUAAUAGAGAUGGACAGAAAUAAUACCAUGCCUGUGUGGUGAUAGAAGGGAAGCACCAGAAAAAGAAGCCUUCAUAAUGCAAGAGAGAUAAGAAACCAGCCAGACCAAUAUUCUCAAGCAGGCAAGAUCUGAUGAUAUUCAAUGCAAAAUAGAGGAGUUAAGCUUGGAUAGGGACAUGGGCAGUUAGCUCAUAGUGAUGAGAGAGAAA